GAUGAACGCUGGCGGCGUGCCUAAUACAUGCAAGUCGAGCGAACGGACGAGAAGCUUGCUUCUCUGAUGUUAGCGGCGGACGGGUGAGUAACACGUGGAUAACCUACCUAUAAGACUGGGAUAACUUCGGGAAACCGGAGCUAAUACCGGAUAAUAUUUUGAACCGCAUGGUUCAAAAGUGAAAGACGGUCUUGCUGUCACUUAUAGAUGGAUCCGCGCUGCAUUAGCUAGUUGGUAAGGUAACGGCUUACCAAGGCAUCGAGGCAUAGCCGACCUGAGAGGGUGAUCAGCCACUCGCGAACUGAAGCACGUUCCAGACCCCUACGGGAGGUAGCAGGAGGGUAUCUUCCUUCAUAGGCGGGAGCCUGACGUAGCAAAUCCGCGUGUGUGAGGAAGGUCUUCGGAGCGUACAUCUCUGUUACUUGGUAAGAAUAUAUGUGUAAGUAACUGGGUACUUCUUGACGUUACCUAAUGAGAAAGCCACGGCUAACUACGUG
rnacentral:rRNA from 1 species